CUCCAGCACGCCAUGUGACGGCGACGAGCCUGCUACCCUUGACACAAAGGGAGCUCAGGGACGCGCCUUCGGAGUCCCUGGGGAGGCAGGGAGUCGGCGCCAGGGAACCACACCAGUUCACAACCAGAGCUGCCAACUCCAGAGCGCUCGCGUCCCACGACCAACACUCCCACUCGGCCCACCGGCUCGCCCUUCCCUCGCCCGCCAAAAAGAUGCCAUCUCACCUGGCUCCAGAUUCCUGUACCCCCCCCCAGGGGACGAUGGCAAGGGAGACACGCCACCCUCGCCCCUUUGCCCUCCAGUGGGUACGUAGGCACGAGGUUGGCCAUUCCCCUCCCCCCCAAGUGGCCCUCUCGGGCUGGCCCCAGUCCACACUCCCAUUGGCUGUCAGGUGUUUGAAAGACAAGUCUUUCCCCCUUGGGAUUUUCCUCCUGAACCCCAAGAAUUCUUCCCACUCCCCACCUUUACUUAUGUAUUUAAAUGACCGACGGCGUCCCCGCCCCAGGGGCCCCUGCUCACCUGGAUCCAGGAGCCACGGGGGGGCCCUCGAAAGUCGCCCUCAGCCAGGCUGGGGGGGAGCACGGAAUCCGGGGUGUCAACCCCCCCGGAAGCCAAGAAGGCGUUGGGGGAGGGGGCGUAGCCCCCAGCCCCUCCCUUCCCUAGCCGCUGGGGGUGGGGGAAAGCAUCGGGGCCGCGCGGCCACGUCAGCAGCCCUCGGACUGGCUGGGCCGGGUCACGUGUCCGCUCCCCCCACGGCCACGAGGGCGAGGUUUCCGAACACUGCCGAGGGUCGUGUGCGGGGUCACAGGGGCUGCACGGCUCAGACAUGCGUCCCGAGACCCCAGACCUCGCCAAGGCUGCUGCCUCGCCAAGUCCCCGGCCUCCCGCGCGGCCGUGGUCGCCCCCGUCCCCCCCACUCGCCUCUCGACUUGAAGCACACACAGCCACAGUUUCUUCCUCACCUCCCCCUCCGCAGCCCACCACAAUCUGGAGUUGACUCCUACUACAGUUGGGAGAGUGUUCUCAGUAAAUGUGCCUUCCAUCGUAUAACUGCCAGAUCUGACACUCCUCAGCCCUUCCUGCAUCCAGAGUGGGCCACUCUGCUUCCAUCACCUGGGGCUGCCUCCCCCCCCCCCACUGUGUUCCCGGCACCUCCAGAUUCUUGGGAUUAGCAUAUGCGGUGUUAGUUACUCUCCGAAGAUCCUCCCGGACUUGGUGUCCCUCCUGGCUUUCCUGGCUGGCUUCCUGUGGAUUCUGCCAGCAGUAGACACCGAAGAAAACCCAGAAACUUAAAGCUUCAGUCUCCCGUCCGGUGACAGACAGUUGUGGCCCUUGUUGGUGGAGGUAGCCAUUGCAGCAGUGUGGAUGACAGCUUCCUCGAAGAAGCUCCUCCAGGAUCCUGAGCUUGGUGGCAGCUUCAAAGGAGAUGGAUCUCCAUGGCCUCCAGUGCCUCUACCUGGCUGCCGCAGAUGCAGACGGGGUUCUGGCUCGGGCUGGGGCAGUGUCUGGUCCCACCCUCCAUGUCUUGUGGCUUCAGUUGCAGGAAGCCUCCACCCUUUGGCCCUUCCUGCCUCCUUACCGUCUUCGAAUCUGACUUUAUACAUCCCGUUCUCCCAAUCUAAUGUGCCUGCGAACCCAGCACUGGGUGGCUAAGGCCACUCUGCUGUGAGUUUGAGGCCGGCUCUAUAGGGACGUCCAUCUCAACAAAGCAAAGCAAACGAGCCUGGAUUCCAGGCGUGGCUCAAUGCUCCUGCCUGGGGGCUGGGUGGUAGCUGAUGAGGUUGGACCCCUGCAGCCCUGAGUCUGUGACCCCCUUUACCUUCAGCGCAGUCUACUUGGUGAUUUGACCCUCUGCUUCAUCUGUGGUCCCUCUUCCUCCACCUCACCACUCCUGUGGGCUGUUCCACAGCACCCCAAAUUUAAAACAUCUACGAUCAUAUCCCCCCCAUCUCCUCUUCCUUCCUCUUCCCUCCUCCGUUUUGUCCCCCCCCAACCCAACCCAACCCAGGGCCUCAUACAUCUUAAGACAAGUGCUUUACAAAUAGACUACAGCCUUCUCUAACCCAGACUCAAGCUGGCCUUGAACUCACUUGGUAGCCCUGUAGGCAUAAAUUGUUUGCAACCUACUUUCAAUAAGGGUUCAACCUUUCUUCUAACCCACCACCCAGCAGAGGUAGGGGAACAGAAAAGCUACUAGGAUGUGGGGGGGAGUGGACCUGUUCGGCAGUAGUUCUUUGGGGGGUGAGCUCGGUCUUCCUCGGCAGCAGUUCAAUCCCACAACAAACAGCAAAUAAGACGCAGCAGCUGCAGACCGGCCCUCUAGGCAGACAGACAGCACGCACGAACCAGCAGCUGCAGUCCAGUCCUUUCAGCAAGCAGACACCAGGCUGUAGUAGUUCAAUCUUGAAGAAACUGCCAGGCUCACCAACAGCCUGAGGCGAGGCCACCAGAGGCAGCAAGCUGCAGCUGUACCACAAGUCCCACAAGUCGAGCUGUAUAAGGUGAAACAAUACAUGUGUCAUUAGCGAAGAAUAGCGAGGCGGAGCAAACCAAACCAAUGGUCAGUGCUCCUCCCCUACUGCCUGUGAGGUCACAUUUAUACUCCUCCAUCAUGGGUCCCUUCCCGUGUCUGCUAUGUCCAAACACCCUUUCACCUGUGUCUGCUUCAGGAAAACAGCCUUUCCCGUGUCUCCUUUAGCAAGUCUUCCUUUCACCCGUGUGCCCCAGCAAACCAUCAUUUGACAUAACUUUUCCAAAGAUACUGGAAGUUUCCUCUUUGUAGCCCGACCUUGAACUUGCGAUCUUGUACUCCAGGCCCCGAGUAUUGGGGAUCAGGGGUACUCAUCUCCAGGCCCAGCUUCCCCAUCUUUCAGUAAGCCCUUGGUAGCCAAGCCCUUCAGAGCCAGCUUCCUCAUCUAUCCCAGCGUUCGAGUGCAUUUUCUUUGAGUAUCACCUCAUCUGGGACCUUUUCAUCUCCAGCCUUUUGUGAUGGGAAGGCACAUUAAUGUCCACUCCUGACAAACGGAGCCAGUUGGCCAGUGGUUUUAGGUUUUCCCAAGUUCCAGUGGUUUGAGAUAUCAAAACCACUCAAAAAUGCUAAAUUUGCCUGCUGACAGUGGCACACUCCUCUAAUCCCAGCACUCUGGGAGUCCGAGGCAGGCAAAUUCUUAUGGUUCAAAGCCAGCUUGGUCUUCGUGGUAAGUUCCAGGCCAGCCAGAGUGCUAUGCAGUUAGGCCUUUUCUUAAGAUGAUGAUGAUGAAAGAGAGCUGGAGGGAUGGCUCAGUGGUUAGAGCACUGACUGCUCUUCCAGAGGUCCUGGGUUCAAUUCCACAUGGUGGCUCACAACCAUCUGUAAUGGGAUCCGAUGCCCUCUUCUGGUGUGUCUGAAGACAGCGACAGUGUACUUAUAUAGAAUAAAUAAAUCUUAAAAAUAAAGAUGAUGUUAUUUUGGGGUUGGG
rnacentral:lncRNA from 1 species